AUGGAAAUCUGGAAGGAACGGAACGCAAGAAUUUUUUGCAACACGGCUGCCCCGACCUACAUCGUCGUCGGUAAAAUCAAAGAGGAAGCCCAUCUUUGGGCAUUGGCGGGAGCCAAGCAUUUGAGCCUUCUAAUGUCGCGAGAGUAG
rnacentral:rRNA from 1 species